rnacentral:lncRNA from 11 species
CUGCGUUAGGGAAAAAGAUAUUUUUCAAGUUCUGGAUUGACCUUUCCGUGUAGGGGCAAAAUGAAUAAGACUUGUGAGAGACUGGUGUGUAUGUGUUCGAAUAGCAUUCACAUCUCUUUUAUAAAUGUGUGGUUCAUAUAAAACUUGACCCUGUGCUGAUUUAAGUGGAGAACAGUGUAUUAUGUUACAGGACACUUGGCUCUGAAAAGAGCAGCAGCUUUGAAUCUUUUGGCAGCAGUGCCUGCGAAGACAUCACUCUUUUCAUUUCCUCUGUAGAUGAAGGAUGAGCCGUGUGACUGAUCCCCUAAAUGGAGCACAUAUUUAAAUGGGUCUCCAGAUAGUGGCUGGCAUGCCCUCUCUCCUUGCUUCAGCUACAAUAUUACAGGUUUGUUGAACUGGUUUAAAAUUACAGAAUUAAAUGCCAUUGAUUUCAAGGAGGGAAAAUUCACUGAAGCUGGAGAUAAUGAGCAACUCAUGGACCAGGAUAUUCCUUAUGGCAUUUUCAAAAUAACUCGAGCAGAUAAGAGUGAUAUUCUACUCAUGGCUAAAGAGAACAGAUCGCUAUACAAUGCUGAAGGCCGACCCAACGUCUAGAGGUCCACAUGUUCUCUGAGGAAGAAGUUAAAUAAUUUAAAAGAAAUGGGCACACUACAGAAGAAAUUUUGCUGCCUGAGGCAGAAUAGUAAAUGAAACCCUGCCAGCACACACUGGGAAGAAACAUGUCUUAUUUGAGUUUCCAGUAUUUGUAGCUGUAGUCUUUUUUUUCCAAUCCUGGAUUAUUUGCAAUUCUUGACAACAGGAACAACUUUUUAUUCCCAUGUCGUGACUUUAAAAAAUGAAUAAAAUAAAUCAGAGGCAUGUUACAUAAUAAACUCCCAAAGGUCAUGGUGUGUAUAUAUGUGUUGUGGUUCAUGAUUAAUGUUUUGGACAGUUCUCUAAAGAUGUGCCUUAUGUAGUAUCCUGAAUUCUUUGCAUAAUGAACAAUUUUGUGGUAGUAGGUGAGAAAAAGCAAAAACAAUUAUUCC